GGCAUUUGAAUUGGUGGCAAAUAUGAACAGCGGAGGGCUAUUUGCCAUUCUCUCUUGCCAUAUGCCUUUGAUGGCUUUAUCUUUCUACGAUAUGGAACAUGUUUUCAACAAGGAAUUUGCCUUAAUUGCUUUGACCUUGGCUGCUUUCGUGUGUAGUUUGGUUUGGUUGUUUCUCUACUGCUAUUUCGCUACAUUUCUCAGCGAAAGAAUAACUUCUAAUGGGAAUACUAUGUGGUCGACCAACUGGUUCGAUUAUUCACCAGAGUUUAGUAAAUAUGUGCCCUUAAUAAUUGCUCGUUCACAAAAACCAGCACAAUUCACUGGAUUCAAUUUAUUGCCUUGCACAUUGGAAAUGUUCGGAAAAAUUUUCAAGACAUCCCUAUCUUAUUACUGGAUAUACAGGAGCCUUUCUAUGCACUAAAAUGUCAAACAUCAAAAUGGAUCACCAUAAAUGAAUUGAAUUGAUUUUUCUCUCAAUCGACGAGUUUUAAUGUAGAUUUUAGAAAUCCUAGGAAACAUGCUGUAAAAUGUAGAAUUGUCACGUAAGAAUAAUGUUUUAUUAAAGUGCACUAUGUUUCAGUCUCGCGACUAACGCCAACAGAACAAGUUGUUAUUUCAUUUCUCUCUUGCUUCAUUCCACUUCUAUAUUGUUUUACUUUUGCAGCUCAUAUUACC